rnacentral:lncRNA from 10 species
GUGGAGCUAAGAAUGGAGGAGUGGCAGGGGGCACAAGGUCACAGAACCAGGCUGAGGAAGAAGAGGUUGCCUGGAGGGUGGGACCCAGAAGCUACUGAAAUGUCGCAGCAGAAAUGGCCAUUGAACGCCCCUUCUAAGGUCCUCGGUGGGAAAGUCAAGUCCUAACAUCCUACAUGGGGAAAUCUACGCAGUUAGCAGAGCCAAAUAUGACAGCGACAUGAGCCAGCCACUUUGGGAAACAGUCAAGUCCUAACAUCCUACAUGGGGAAAUCUACGCAGUUAGCAGAGCCAAAUAUGACAGCGACAUGAGCCAGCCACUUUGGGAAACAGUCAAGUCCUAACAUCCUACAUGGGGAAAUCUACGCAGUUAGCAGAGCCAAAUAUGACAGCGACAUGAGCCAGCCACUUUGAACCUGACGUUUCAUCGUCACGUGAGACUGUAGCUCUCUGAGUCCCACACCCUGGUCACCUUGUCCUGGUUCCUGCACCUUUGAGGGUGAGUUAUUCAAGUCAGCCGGUGGAGUAGACGGUGCUCCUGAUCAUUCCUAAAAGGCAACAGCCUUUUCUGCAUUUCUUGCAGGAAAAGUCAGACAGAUCUGAGAAGAAAUCUCCAGAUUCCCCAGAAAGCACUCUCUUGAACAUCCUUUCCUGUGCAUACACAGCAGGUGUUUAAUUCUUGCUCUAGGGAGCAGAGCCCGUCCCAGUGUGAAGAGUGGCUUUGCACACAAGAAACUAUUUCUCCAUUGUCUCCCUAGAUUAGAGAGGCCCCCAGUUGAAACUGCUUCCCCUGAGCCUUCGGUAUUAGAAACUGGUAAAACCCCUCCAGAAGCAUCGCCCUGGAAACUUGAGCACCUCAACCCCCAAACUCAGAUCCCAGCAGAGAAAGCCUUUGGCAUCCCAGGACCGAAUGCUAACGGCGCUGAGGUCGGGUGAAUCCGCUCUGGCCUGUGGUGAUGGUGACUUGCUGUUGAGAACCUUAGUGUUUUGAGUGAACAAGAAGAAAUCUAUUCCAGCAUGAUUAUUCCAAUUGGGAUUUAGGAGGACUGGGCAUUCUCCACAUUCCAGUCUUCUUCAGUUCCAUGGGCUUAAGAGGGGGCUUAUUUUUUUCUUUCUGUGCCACAAAAACUUGGCAGCGAUGACUAACCUAGGGUAACAUGAGAAAGCUUACUAGGUCGGUCUGUGGCUUUCCUGCUAGCUUUCCUGUUUGUCAUACGACAGUGAGACCAAUGCCAGCUCAUCAUGGCACAGAGAGCUUUGGGUGAUCUUUGCAGCUGGAUGUGAGGCCCAGCUUGGUGGGCUAAUGCCCUGGAGAAUGGGUACCUUGGGUGUUCAGUGAGAGGCACGGUAGGAGUGGGGUAGGGGUGAGAGGAAAGAGGCAUGCGGAGCUCAGAGGUAGAAGCACAGCCUGUUUCUAAUAGACAUUAAAAAGAAAGGACACUUUUGGCCGGGCGCUGUGGCUCACUCCUGUAAUCCCAGCAUUUUGGGAGGCCGAGGCGGGCGGAUCACCUGAGGUCAGGAGUUCGAGACCAGCCUGGCCAACAUGGUGAAACCUCACCUCCGCUAAAAAUACAAGAAUUAGCCAGGCGUGGUGGCACAUGCCUGUAGUCCCAACUACUCAGGAGGCUGAGGCAGGAGAAUCACUUGAACCUGGGAGGCAGAGGUUGUAGUUAGCCGAGAUCAUGCUACUGCACUCCAGCCUGGGUGACAGAGUGAGACCCCAUCUCAAAAAAAAAAAGAAAAAAGAAAAAAAAGAAAGAAAAAGAAAGGACAUUUCUAACUGGACAGGGAUGACCUUCGUUAGAGAAACAGCAGCAACUUGGCCUUCACCAGCCCCAAACAACACUGCCAGGUUGAGAUCAUUACUACCAUUUUGCAGAGGACAAAUGUGAGCCUCAGAAACGAAGAAACUCCCCCAGAGUAGGACACGGCCAAGCUGUUUCUUACCCUCCGGCCUCCUGUGCUCUUUCCAUGACAAGCAGAAAGAAGAGGCUACCUUUGGUUUAAGGUCUCGAUAAACUUUGACACUGUGGAACCAAUCCUUCCUCCUUGCAAACAACAUUCAGUUCAACUUGGUGAAUCUCUAUUGACCAUUUAUUAUGUGCAAAUGCCUGUAUGCAUGAAAUAAAAUUAAAAAAUAAAAUAUGCAUGAAAUUAAAACAACACACAACAAUAACCAGGCAUGGACACAAGGCCUAGGAAGGGCUUGGCAUGAACACACUAAAUCAAUUUAGCCGAGGAGACCAUUCCCAAUAUUCUGGAGGGGGCAAGUCUGAUAUUAACUCCCCGGGGAAAAGAGCCCUUUCCUCGCUUACUCCUGGUAGGACCAAACCCAAUAUCUAGCACUUUUUACCAACUCUUUCAAGAUCCUCCCAGAGAGUUUUUUCAUCUGUAUCAGUUCUCUCAUCUGAAAAGUGAGCCUAAUAAUUACUACCUUGCAGGAGUUUGGGGAGUAUGAAGCAAGAUGGUGACUACAAAACGUGGGCACGUGCCUUUGUGAGUUCUCAGUAAAUGUCACCUCACUCUCCUUUUUUAAAAAAAUAAAAAUUUUUCGGCAUGUCUCCUAUAACUCAGGUACAGGGCUAGGCCCAGAGAUACAGUGAUGAAUGAGACACAGUGGUGGUUACGGGACUUACCAGCAGGAUAACGUGAAGGCUGGCACGGGGUCUUUCAGGCCCAGUAAAAGCAAGUUUCUUUCAUUGUUUAUUGCAAAUUUACUGAACUACGUUUUGUUUUCAUCAUUUGUGUUUUCUUAAUUUUCUCUCAAUGCACCAAACUGUUUAAGACAAAGCUCGUUUCAAUUUCAUAAGAGAAAUGAAUUCUAGAAGCAGGGUCCAAUGAAGUUGGCCAUUAUUUAACUUCACUAACGUGAAUAAAAGCAACCUAUGCUUUUAGUAUACAAAUAAUUUUGUAAAAGGUAAAGAGUAUCAUAAUAGAAAUCACCCUACACGAUAGCCAAAAGGCGGAAGCAACCCAAUUGUUCACCAAUGGACAAACGGAUAAACGAAAUGUGAUCUAUGGCCAGGUGCAGUGGCUCAUGGCUGUAAUCCCAGCAUUGUGGGAGGCCAAGGAUGGCAGAUUUUUUGAGCCCAGGGGUUUGAGCCCAGCCUGGGCAACAUGGCAAAAUCCUAUAUCAACCAAAAAAGAAAAAAAAAUUAGCUGGAUGUGGUGGUGCAUGCCUAUAGUCCCAGCUACUCAGAAGGCUGAGAUGGGAGGACCACUUGAGCCUGGGGGGUGGGAGGUUGCAGUGAGCUGAGAUCACGCAGCUGCACUCCAGCCUGGGCAACAGAGCAAGACCCUAUUUCAAAAAAACAGAAAACCAGGCCCGGCAUGGUGGCUCUUGCCUGUAAUCCCGGCACUUUGGGAGGCCGAGGCAGGCAGAUCACUUGAGGUCAGGAGUUCAAGACCAGCCUGGGCAACAUGGUGAAACCCCAUCUCUACUAAAAAUAUAAAAAUUAGCCAGGUGUGGUGGUAUGCACCUGUAAUUCCAGCUACUUGGGAGGCUGAGGCAGGAGAAUCACUUGAAUCCCGGGAGGCAGAGGCUGCAAUAAGCCGAGAUCGCGCCAUUGCACUCCAGCCUGGGUGACAGAGUGAGACUCCGUUUCAAAAAAAGAAAAACAAACAAACCCAAAAUGUGGUCUGUUCAUACAAUGGAAUAUCAUUCAGCCCUAAAAAGGAAGGAAAUUCGGACACAGACCACAAGAUGGAUAAAUCUUGAGGACAUUGUGCUCAGUGAAAUAAGAGUCGCAGUCACAAAAGGACGAAUACUGUAUGAUUCCACUCAGAUGAGGAAUCUAGAGGAGUCAAAUUCGUAGAGACAGGAAGCAUUCAUAGAAUGGUGGGUGCCAGGGCCUGGGGCGAGGGGGACAGAGAGCUGGUAUUUAAUGGGGACUUAGGGAAAAUGAGAAAAGUUAUGGAGGUGAAUGGUGGUGAAGGCUGUACCACGAUAUGAAUGAACUUAGUGCUGCUGAAAAUUAUACGCUCAAAGAUGAUUAAAAUGGUCAAUUUUAUCUUAUGUAUAUUUUACCACUUUGAAAAAUGUUUAAUAAAUAAAAAUAAAUUUUUAAAAAAGGCUGAAUGAGGUGGCUUAUGCCUGUAAUCCUAGCACUUUAGGAGGCCGAGGUAGGAGGAUCACCUGAGGUCAGGAGUUCGAGACCAGCCUGGCCAACAUGGUGAAACCCAGUCUCCACUAAAACAAAAAUUAGCUGGGCGUGGUGGCGGGCGC